UUAGGUUAGAAUUUUCAAUUUCACACCUCACUUUAGGGUUCAAGUUCAUGCAGCUUCUACCAUCUCUUUGACUCACCCUCUUGUCUCGGCCUCUCGUCUUAUGCCAUCGUCGGCGUUCAAUUGUCUCCCCUUCUCAAUCUUCGGUUGUCUCUCCUUCUCAGAAGUCUCUUUCUCAUAAAUCUCUCAAUCUUCGAUCGUCUCUCCUUCUUAGAAGUCUUCGAUUGUCGCUCGGGAGACUCGCUCAUCUCACGCCAUCGUUGGCAUUCAAUCAUCCCUCCUCACUCUUUGACCAUCUCUCCUUGCAAGUUUAUUUAGCUCAUAACUGAAACAUUUUUUUUCAAGUUUCUUGGAUUUUCAGUUGUUCGAAUUUCUUUUAACAAUAGUUGGAAGUUCAAAACUGGGAAGGUGCGCCAAAUUAUUUAAUUCAUCUAAUUGUUUUACAUUGCUACCUUCUUUGUCUUCCACUUGGUCUAAUUUUGCAAAUUGUGAAGAACAAUCUAGGGGAGCUGGUAAGAGAAAAGACUUCUGGUUCUCAGUUUGGUGGAGAGUGGGUAAUUGUUCUUUAAAAUAAUUUAUAUUCUUUUAUAUAUAUAUUACAUGCUACUUAUAUUGUUUAGAUGGCAGCAAAGUGUUGAAAGGUUUUAUGAAAAUAGUAUUUGGUUUUCGUCAUUUGCCCAACCAGCAAUGUGGGGGCAUCCUUUGUAAUGAAUUUUUGGUUUUAAUAAGCUUCUAAGCCAGAAAAGUGAUGGAAAAUUGCCAAAAAUAGGUUAAAAAAGAGGGUUAAAUGACUUUUGGGAUAACUUUUCAAAAGGAAGAGUUUUAGGACAAUUUAGGUGUGAAUGGACAAAAAUGCCUUCAUUAAAUUUCUCUUCCUCUUUUCCUUUCCCUCUUCCACGUUCGCUUUCCCUUCUCUCCACAAUUGAUUUCUCUUAUCUUUCGCGUAGAGUUCCCUUUCCCUUCUCUUUUGCGUAGAACACUUGAAGAUACUCCGGCCAUUCGUCGCUUGCCCUUCAUCGCUUGCCCUUCGUCGGUCGUCCAGUGCAUUUCGUCGCUCCUCUUCGAACCAUUCAAUCAACUUCGAGCGUUUUCUCUUAUUUCGAUCAGGGAGGCUAUUCUAUUUGCUUUAGCUUCUUUGGCAGAAUAGUUGAUUGAAGUAGAGAGUGACAAGAGUUGGGUUGGGAAGUUUUUUAGGGAAAACAUUGACCGAAGACAUGUCUAUAGGUCCUCAUGACUGUCCCUUCUUUUAUGUAUAUUAACAUCAGUUGCCAAGUUCUCCUCUAUGAUUAGGAGUGACCUUAUUAAUCAGUUCCUUCAGAAGCUGUGAAGGCUCUUGGCGUGGACGUACCACCUCCUGUGAAAGCUGGUGCCUGCAGGGCACUUUCCGAGCUCCUACCUGAAGCAAACAAAGAAAUCAUUGGGUCUGAAAUGAUGUUUUUGUUUUCAUCACCUGGAAAUCUUCUCAAUGGGUGAAAGCAUUGAAUGUGAUCAAGGCUUGUCUUGGCCGGAGAGUGGUAUUCUUGGGUUGGUGAUGAUUUGUAUGGUGACAGUGAUCUACCUCCUUGGUCUGGUGUUUUUCUUCUUCCUUCCCCCCAGCUAUGGUUCUUGUGGUGAUGGAGAUUAAAUGGUUGAUUUCGUUAUUGUUUGUAGAAUGAUUGAAGUCAUAUGGUGUUGAAAGAAACUAUCUGUAGAUAGUCUGGUGAUCGAGUAGAAAGCUAAGCCAUCACUGAAGGUUUUAAAGAUUAUGGAGGUGUUUAGGAUUUCUUAUUUAAGCCUCGUAUUAGGAUUUUGUUUCAUGUACUGUUGUAGAAUGUAUAUAUAAACAUAAUAUUAAGACUUCAUUUUGUGUAUACAAAUGUAAAAGACAUAUUAUAAUUUUUAAAAUAAUAUUACUUUUAUUGA